CCUGUGCCUUAAGGCCGGUGGGGUCAGCCCCGUCCCCUGCGCGGCUGCCAGGCCUUGGCUCUCCUUCCCACUCCGGAUGCUGUGAUGCUCGGCUGGGACGCAGGCACACGUAACUCCUGAGCAGAGGGGACAGCACUGACCGCGGUGGAGGGGAAGGGGUCAACCGGGCCCCAGUGGCGGAGCAGGGGACGCCAGCGGCGUGCGUGGUGGUCAAACCGAGGGUAAGGUGGGGCGCCCGCCCCCCCCCCCCCCCCCCCCCCCCCCCAGGAUGCGGACUGCAUGCUCACCUCUGAGUUCUCAGGACCUGCUGGGUAGAGUCGCGGUCGGCCCGCCCUGGGGCAGCCUCUUUCUCUCUCCAAACCUCAGUUUCCUCAUCUGUAAAAUGGGACUCGCGACAGCAUGCCCCGUCCAGGACUGCGGAGCUCUCAUCAGGGAGAUUAAUUAAUGCACAGCCCUAGCUAGGAGGCAUCUGACAUCGCACCGUCUCUCGCAACAAAGCUGCAAAGAAAAACGUCACUGGACCCAUUUCACAGAUGGGGAAAUUAAGACCCAAGGAAGGAAAGUGGUUGGUCCGAGCAAACCCAGGCAGACACGAAAGAGGUUUCUGGUGGUCGUGAAAGGUCUCAUUCCUCAGAAGGCGGCAUGGGGGGCAACGAUGGAGCCACACGGUUGCAGAGGAUGGAAUCACCUGGCAACCCAAUGGCAAGAUAGCGUGCGGCCCAGUCGGGGAACGGGUCCAGAGCGGAAAGUCCAACCCGUGCAGACAAGAGCACUGUGGUCAAGGGAUCACGCCAUCCCCCCAGUGACGGCAGCACCUGCCACUUGCUCUAACCAAUAGCGUAUGGCAAGGGCGAUGGUGUCAACUCCCAUGGUUGGGUUACUUUUCUCCCUCUUGUGUUUUUUUCUUCAAUUUAUGCAUGUAACGUAAAAUAUGUGUAAUACUGUGCACGUAACGUAAACUCUAUCAUUUGAACCAUUUUCAGGCACACAGCGUAAUGGCACCAAGCGCAUUCAUACAAUCUAUAACAUAUGCCUUUGACGCUGUAAUUUUUUCACCUAAGUGCCGUUUUAGCUGCAGCUCAUACAUUCUGAUGUGUUGUGUUUUCAGUUUCGUUGAAUUAGA
rnacentral:lncRNA from 1 species